GACCGUCUUUUAAGUGCAGGAGCAGUGCAGGUGCACGAUCAGGCCAGUAAUGUGUCAUCAACAAAAUCAUCUGAGUCAAACAUCUGAGAGGAAUUUUAAAGGCACUAGACUCUUACCAAUGACGACCAAACAGGUGACCUUAUCCAAAAUGUAUCAGAGACGUGCUGUCUGUCGGCAGAAUUCUUUUCGGGCCACUGCCAAGGUGAGCACAGGAGACACUUGGUGGCAGUUCGAUUCCAUAGAAUUGACACCUGUGGAAAGUAAGAGAUCUGUGUCUCGUCAUGUCUGCGGGAUUUGCAGGUGACCUGACGUCCGCUGUCAUUCAGGAGGCGUGCAAAUCAUGCUGGGAUCUGCCCUGUCCCCUCAGCCCUGAAGACAAGUGGAGUGGAUGAAUCCAACACUGAAAACUUCAUUUAGAAGUCUAUAGGGCCUGGGAGCCAUCUCUUUUCAAUGUCAACAUCAAGGAAGACAAUGCCCCAUCGCCCUGUCACUGUGGGAAUCUAGCUGAGGCAUCUCAACUACCUGCUCGUCGUAGAGAUAGAGGCCAUUAACUUGCACAGAUGGCCACUCCAAUGACCAGGUGAAUGCAGAGUGAACUCUGAAAGCACGUGGAGUGAGCAGGACUGUUGAGUCUCCUCACCCGACAAGUGCUCAUACCUGGGAACAUGCACACAGGGGUUGUAUCUGCUUGGCUUAUAGGGAAGCAGGAUGGGGAGGGUGCCUGGCUGGCUCAGUCGGUAGAGCAUGUGACCCUCGAUUUGUAAGUUCAAGCCCCGCAUCGUGGUUGUUUGCUUUUUAAUUAAAAAUAAAAUCUUUUUUUAAAAAAGGGUGGGAUUUCUUUUCUGUCUUAAUAAUUUUAUUUGUUAAAUAGCAGGUCACCUGGGACACAGGCCAGGCUGAGCUCAUGCUUACUCAAAACCAGAACUAUUCCUUUUCGACAUUUGUAGGGAGGGUUUUCUGGGUUGGCAGGUUUUAUUUUUACAAAUGAAAAUACAACAGUGUAAGGGUCUGUCUUCAGUGUUACUGUAGAGGACAGUUUUACCCAAUAUUUCAUCAGGCCAUAAAACGGAUCCAGCACUGUGUUUCCUUACUGCCCACCACCCAGCCAGGACUAUUUCAGGUCUUCACCCCAUUUCCGGGAGCAAAUUUCCAUGUUAGUGAGGGUAGGACAGGCUGUGGUGCAGCAAUAAGUAAACCCAUACAUCUCAUUCACUUCAUGUCAGUAGCGUUUCUUCCUUGCUCAGAGCAUGGUUUAUCGCAGAUCCGGGCAGUUAGGGGGAUCCCUGGGCCACGCGAUCGAGGGGCUGCUCUAACAACCGCAGAAUGGGAAGCAUACAAACAACAAAUAUCUCUUUCCCACAGU